GCGAUCCAACCUCUCUUUUGUAUCCGCCAUAGCUAUCUCAAGUUUAUCUAACCGAGCUUCAAAACUAGCAAGAUAGUCACGAGAUUUACCUCCCAUAUGUGGUGGUGGGACGGUGCGCUCCUCCUCGCGACCCUUGCAAACUUGCUCCUCACCGCCGCUAGCCAUGUCGUGAAUGUGCCCAGCUAACCCACGAACCCUUUCGUAGUGUGGCUCUGAUACCAACUGUCACGGACCGGAUAACUCCCUAGCUAUCUUCCGUGUGGCCUUAGUCACAAUCCGCCCCUGCGAUGUGCUAAGUCAGCCUUUCCCUGAAAUAUUGCCACAACAAAGCUAAGAGAGAAGCUAAGAAGAGAAGCUUGCAAGAAAGCUUUUUAUUAAACAAGAGAAUGCUUUAUACAGGUGUUGGAUUGCUUGAAUGUUUCUUGGAUGCAAAUGGCAAAUGCCUCUAGCCUAUUUAUAGUUGCUAGAGUCCCAAAUCAACGGCUAAGAUCUAUUCUA
rnacentral:lncRNA from 1 species